UACGAAGGGGGCUAGCGUUGCUCGGAAUCACUGGGCGUAAAGCGCACGUAGGCGGCUUUCUAAGUCAGGGGUGAAAUCCUGGAGCUCAACUCCCAGAACUGCCUUUGAUACUGGAGAGCUUGAGUCCGGAAGAGGUGAGUGGAACUCCGAGUGUAGAGGUGAAAUUCGUAGAUAUUCGCAAGAACACCAGUGGCGAAGGCGGCUCACUGGCCCGAUACUGACGCUGAGGUGCGAAAGCGUGGGAGCAAC
rnacentral:rRNA from 1 species